GAAUGGGUGAUGAAAAUCAAGUUGAGCAUCAAAUGCUCGAUGAAAAUUAUCAAUGUCUGAAAAAGGGCAUUAGUGAUGAUAUAGUUGCCACACUUGAUCCAGAACCAGAGGUAGUUACAGCCAAAAUAGAAUCUAGUACUGUACAUAAGGAAAAUCAUGAUAUCGAUGUUGAUGAUUUUACAAGAAACAAGCAAGCAGUUGAUAGACGUUUUCCGAAUGCUGUUCUACCUCUCCUUCGCUAUUAUCAAUAUGAAAGCUCUGAAUCGUCCUCGAGUUUUCAGGGGUCUCCAAGUGAAGACAGAAAUUUCAGAAGUGAUGCUGAUGACACAGAGACAGAGGAGGCAUCUUUCUCUGGCCAGGAUGAUUCCGCGGACCUACUUGACAUUCUUGAAUGGGCCAAGGAAAAUAAGAAUGGAUCAUUACAAAUCAUAUGCGAGUAUUACCAGUUGCAU
rnacentral:misc_RNA from 1 species